ACAAUAUAGGGUGCUGACGCGAAAAAUCCCAUUUUUUUGAUGUCCAUGCCAUGCUGCUGCACCAAAAAUGACGUCAACCAGGUGGUGCUCCCCCAAUAUACCGCCAAUUGGCAGAACAGCGCGACGCAAUACACGUAGAAAUGACCGUCCUUCAGGAAGACGGCGUAAUUUUUAUUCCUGCUGUCCUUGCCGGAAUCGUCUCCGGCGGCGGCUGUACCGGUCAGCAUGAUGUGGUCAUAUUCCUCCUGCCGAAGUCGGCCUUUGGCGAGCACCUCUUGCGGCGAAUCCGACACAAAAUACAAGAGUGCCCACAUUCCAAUCAGACCGGGCAGUGCGAGGAAAUAGAACACCGGACGCCACUGGCCU
rnacentral:misc_RNA from 1 species